AAGCUUUGGGUUCCUUCUGUCCCACAGGGAGUUGCCCUGUUUGGUUGCAUCUGGUGAAAUUCACCCUGAGACCUUACAGAAGUAGCUCAAACUACGUGAGAGCCAUUUGCAGUUCCCUCCACACACCUGGAGAAUGGGUGACGUUUCUGAGGAUGUGGCAACUGUACUUCUAUCAAAACUCAGUCUGUGAAAUUUCUGGGGAAAACUCUUCGGUGACCUGAAGGGUUCAAACUCUGGGAAAGACUCUCGUAUCCUUGUCUUCAGGCUCGGUGCUGUCCACGAAGAUACGGAGACUAAAAAAAUCAUAAGAAGCAAAAUAUGACUGCAGGGAAAACAAGCUGGAGAGAACAAAAGACUCAUCACGGCGGGACAGCGUGAAGACUGAAAGUGUGAGAAGAUGUGGAGGGGAAGAGAGAAUCUGACGGGAGCAGCGAACGCACGAGUGCACGAA